AUACGGAGGGUGCAAGCGUUAUUCGGAAUCACUGGGCGUAAAGGGUGCGUAGGCGGUUUGAUAAGUCUGAUGUGAAAUCCUAUGGCUCAACCAUAGAACUGCAUUGGAAACUGUCAGACUAGAAUACUGAAGGGGCAGAUGGAAUUAGUGGUGUAGGGGUAAAAUCCGUAGAUAUCACUAGGAAUACCGAAAGCGAAAGCGAUCUGCUGGGAAGUUAUUGACGCUGUGGCACGAAAGCGUGGGGAGCAAACGGGAUUAGAAACCCUUGUAGUCC
rnacentral:rRNA from 1 species